rnacentral:rRNA from 1 species
AUUGAACGCUGGCGGCAUGCUUUACACAUGCAAGUCGAACGGUAACAGGUCUUCGGAUGCUGACGAGUGGCGCACGGGUGAGUAACACAUCGGAACGUGCCUAGUAGUGGGGGAUAACUACUCGAAAGAGUAGCUAAUACCGCAUGAGAUCUAAGGAUGAAAGCAGGGGACCUUCGGGCCUUGCGCUACUAGAGCGGCUGAUGGCAGAUUAGGUAGUUGGUGGGAUAAAAGCUUACCAAGCCGACGAUCUGUAGCUGGUCUGAGAGGACGACCAGCCACACUGGGACUGAGACACGGCCCAGACUCCUACGGGAGGCAGCAGUGGGGAAUUUUGGACAAUGGGCGAAAGCCUGAUCCAGCAAUGCCGCGUGCAGGAUGAAGGCCCUCGGGUUGUAAACUGCUUUUGUACGGAACGAAAAGACUCUCUCUAAUAAAGAGGGUUGAUGACGGUACCGUAAGAAUAAGCACCGGCUAACUACGUG